CCUACGGGGGGCAGCAGUGAGGAAUAUUGGUCAAUGGACGAGAGUCUGAACCAGCCAAGUAGCGUGAAGGAUGACUGCCCUAUGGGUUGUAAACUUCUUUUAUAAAGGAGUAAAACCAGACACGUGUACCUUUCUGAAAGUACUGUAUGAAUAAGGAUCGGCUAACUCCGUGCCAGCAGCCGCGGUAAUACGGAGGAUCCGAGCGUUAUCCGGAUUUAUUGGGUUUAAAGGGAGCGUAGAUGGGGUGUUAAGUCAGUUGUGAAAGUCUGCGGCUCAACCGUAAAAUUGCAAUUGAUACUGUCAGUCUUGAGUAUAGUUGAGGUAAGCGGAAUGCAUGGUGUAGCGGUGAAAUGCUUAGAUAUCACGAAGAACCCCGAUUGCGAAGGCAGCUUACUAAGCUGUGACUGACAUUGAUGCUCGAAAGUGUGGGUAUCAAACAGGAUUAGAUACCCUUGUAGUC
rnacentral:rRNA from 1 species